UGGAGCCACGGACUUCGAUCCCGCGGCGUCUGGACAGAGGUAAAUCCAUUUGUCCAAGUAAUACCCUAACAUCUGUCCUAGAGAGGGAAAUGCAGACAAGGCCUCCACCACCUAUUCCUCACUACAGACAAACAGAUAAGAAUAAUGGAAACAAUGGCUUGCCGAAAACAUUAAAAGUGGAGCCAGUGAUUGACUACUUCGAUGUCCAAGACUGAAAUAGUUAACCUUAAAUUAUUAUUUAGAAAAAUGGAGGUGAAGAUACAUAUCUAUCAUGCAAGUUGCUUUGUGGCUAAUUAAAUGAUUAACUAUUCAAUAUAUUCAAAGUUUAAAAUAGUAAAAAAGCACUAGCGAGUUAAGUAUAUGAGAAAGUGUAUGAGAAACAUAGCAUUGUCUAGAAAUUAACUAAAAAUGAAACUGAUAUUUUAAAUUUGACUGCAAAUUUUCAGCUGCUCUGACUAUUUUUACGUAAAUUGCAGGUGCAGGUAUUUUUCACCUCAGGCUGGUACAUUUUUCUUCUCUGUUUGUUUGGAAUCAGAGUAUCUUUAAUGAAGUGAAACUGCCUAUCCAUUAAUUUGUAGCUGAAAAAACUGGUUCUUAAACUGAUUCUAUUGGGGUAGUGAUAUUAGUAGCACACAUUCCAAAGAUUUAUACUGAGGGAUCCAACUGUACUGUUAAAAAUUAACAAAUCACAAAUUGCUAUAAUAUAAUCCUAAUGGAUAUAUUUUCAAAGAGUUUUCAUGUGAUUUUAAUCAUUCCAUUUCUACUGCAAACAUAUCAAAUUUGGGAAUGAAGUGUCUGAGUUAUUCCCACAUGGAAUAAAACUAAAAAUUUAGCUCAACUCUACAAUAUGUUACAUAUUCCCAGUGCUUAGGCACAAUGACACCUGCUAAAGAGGAGUACAUCUCAUGUUCACUAGCAUUUGAGGAUUUGGGUACUUUCCAGUUCUUGUUCUUGAGGUGG